GAAGUAAAUGCUAGUAUCACCUUCAUCUCACAGGAGAAACCUGACAACAGGGUGGCCAAGAAAACACCUUUGGUAAAGUCACGGAGCUUCAUGGAGCUGCCCCUUGAACCCGUCUCUCUAGCUCGGGGCUCAUGUCCUUUACGUCUCCACUGUUCUCGGCGGGGCUGUCUCCCCACACCCCCACUUCAGACCAUGGACUGUGGCUUCUCUGCUCCUUCAGUCUCAGAAUUCUGGCGACCGGACCAGAUACCUCUUCUGCAGAAACAUUGGCUCGUCUCCCAGAGAUCUGUAUAUAAAGAAGUUCGUUGUGACUAUGACUACAAUUGAAAAAGAUGGGAAACAACUUGAAUGUCUGAGGAUAGACAGAUGGCUAAAUAUAUGAGGUGGUACAUCCAUGCAGUGGGGUCCUAGGGAGCCACUGCCAAGAUGCCAGCGUGCUAGCAGGACUGAGCAAAGGGCUCCAGGGUAGAAGGUUAAGUGAACCAAACGGUGUAAUUUGAUCUUGUAUUUAAAGCGGGGUGAUAUAUAAACUGGGAUAUUAUUAUUAUUAUUAUUUUGAAGAUUUUAUUUAUUUGAGAG
rnacentral:lncRNA from 1 species